AUGCCGGCGGCGCCGCCUCCAUUGCCGCUCCUGGGCCUCUUCUUGCUGCUGCUGUGCUCGUGCUCGCUGGCCAGCGGGAGGGCCGCCGUUUCUUCCCCGGCGCCGGCGUCGGUGGCCGCCGCCAAUGGGACCGCAUCCUCUUCUUCCUCUCCGGUGGUUCUGGCGUCUCCCCCCGUCGUGAUCACAGUGGAGAGGCACCACCACUACCACCGGGAGCUGGUCAUCGCCACCGUGCUCGCCUCCGUCGCCACCGUCAUGAUCUUCCUCACCACCUUCUACGCCUGGACCAUGUGGCGCCGGGCUCGCCGGAUCCCCGCCGGCAAGGCCGCCCGGAGACCAGACACCACCGCGAAAGGGAUCACGCUGGUGCCGAUCCUGAGCAAGUUCAACACGGUGAAGAUGAGCAAGAAGGGGCUGGUGGCCAUGAUCGAGUACCCGUCGCUGGAGGCGGCGACGGGCAAGUUCAGCGAGAGCAACGUGCUCGGCGUCGGCGGGUUCGGCUGCGUCUACAAGGCGGCGUUCGACGGCGGCGCCACCGCCGCCGUGAAGAGGCUCGAAGGCGGCGAGCCGGACUGCGAGAAGGAGUUCGAGAAUGAGCUGGACUUGCUUGGCAGGAUCAGGCACCCAAACAUAGUGUCCCUCCUGGGCUUCUGCGUCCAUGGUGGCAAUCACUACAUUGUUUAUGAGCUCAUGGAGAAGGGAUCAUUGGAGACACAACUGCAUGGGCCUUCACAUGGAUCGGCUAUGAGCUGGCACGUCCGGAUGAAGAUCGCGCUCGACACGGCGAGGGGAUUAGAGUAUCUUCAUGAGCACUGCAAUCCACCAGUGAUCCAUAGGGAUCUGAAAUCGUCUAAUAUACUCUUGGAUUCAGACUUCAAUGCUAAGAUUGCAGAUUUUGGCCUUGCAGUGACAAGUGGGAAUCUUGACAAAGGGAACCUGAAGAUCUCUGGGACCUUGGGAUAUGUAGCUCCUGAGUACUUAUUAGAUGGGAAGUUGACUGAGAAGAGCGACGUCUACGCGUUUGGCGUAGUGCUUCUAGAGCUCCUGAUGGGAAGGAAGCCUGUUGAGAAGAUGUCACCAUCUCAGUGCCAAUCAAUUGUGUCAUGGGCCAUGCCUCAGCUAACCGACAGAUCGAAGCUACCCAACAUCAUCGACCCAGUGAUCAAGGACACAAUGGACCCAAAGCACUUAUACCAAGUUGCGGCGGUGGCCGUUCUGUGCGUGCAGCCCGAACCGAGUUACAGACCGCUGAUAACAGAUGUUCUCCACUCUCUUGUUCCUCUGGUGCCCGCGGAUCUUGGGGGAACGCUCAGAGUUACAGAGCCACAUUCUCCACACCAAAUGUACCAUCCCUCUUGA
rnacentral:rRNA from 1 species